AUACAUUCUUUUCUAGUACUCAUGGAAUGUUCUCAAGGAUGGAUCAUAUGCUGGGGUAUAACAAGCCUCAAUAAAUUUAAAAAGAUUGAAAUUAUUCAAAGCACACUCUCUGACCAUAAUGGAAUGGAGCUAGAACUCAAUAACCAUGCAGGGAUGGUUCAAUAUGAGAAAAUACUGAAUUUCUUAAUUCUCAUGUAGUAUUAACCUCUGCUUCUUAUAUGCUUUUCCUUAAAAGAUGCUUUAUUAAACAUAAAUAUUGAAAGUCAUUUUUUCUUUUGGAUGACUGCUUUAACUUGCUUACUUUGAAUAAUACUGACAUUAGAUUAUUGCUACUUGACUAUGACUCUUUCCAGUUAUUAUGGGCUCAUCAUUUUUUAUCUUUUUUCAUUUCUAGUAUCUUAAAGAUGUUUUUAUUUUUAAAUGGUAUGGGCAGAGGUCAGGAAAAUAGCUUUCAUUAAAUAAUCUUUUCCUUUAAUGAAGACAAGACAUAGGUGAAUGAUAAAGAGAAAAGAGAUGGGCUUUAGAUGCACUGAAGACUGAGUUUAAUUCCUGGUUUUCCUACUUGGUAGGGUUCUAAACUUGGGAACAUUACUUACCAUCACGAAAUAUAUUUUCUGAUAUGAAAGGGAGGAUACUAAUACAUGCUUCAGUGGUGCUUGUAAGUUAGAAUAUAUAUAUAUAUUUAUAUAUAUGGCAUUUAAUUCAAUGCCUACCACAUGCUUAUCAGCAUCAUUAAUAUAACUAUUAUGACUGUUAUUAUUGCCAUUAUUAAUAUUAUUAUUUUAAGCCUGCAAAGCUUUCACUUAUCCCUAGCUGAAUUUGAAUUAUGUGUUAAUUAACUAUAUCAGAAUAGGGAAGAAAUGAAGAAUCCUUCCUUUAAAUCUUUACCUACUUCAGAUAAGUGACCUCAGUAUAGUUGCUUGUCCAUCAAGGGACUUUAAAUUAUCUAAUACUAAUACCACAAUGGGACAAGCUUCCUUUUGCUUUUUCCCUUCCUUAUAGCCUUGGAGGUAAUUUAUGAAGAUAAUCACAUGAGCAAUCAAGAUGUUUAUGUCUGUUAGUGUCUGUAACUAGUCACUGCUCUACAGACAGGGAAAAUAUUAGCUUGGUAAAGUAUAUAUCAAAUGAGCUGUUUAAGUAGUUUGAUUAAAGUUCUUGAGGGUGAAGUUAUCUUUCUGUUAUUUUAGAACAGCCCUCAUGCUUGCUGUAAAUUUUGACUCAACGAAUAUAGUCAGUCUUCUUCUUCAGAAAGGUAUUGAUGUCUUUUCUCGAGAUUUCCAUGGAUGGACUGCAGACGAAUAUGCUCUUUUUAAUGGUUUUAUUAUAUAACUUGAAAGAAUUAAUCCUCAACUGCCAAGCUGGAAGAAAACAAGAUUCAAUAUAAUUUUGAAAUCUAGCAUUUGCUGCAUUAUCCCUCUCCAAUAGGUGGUACAUUUCCGUGGCUUUGCAGAUCACUGCUGGAGCCCAGUCAUGGCAGGUCAGCUGGGUAUGUGGGGGGACAGGACAUCAGGGCAUGGGAUCUGGAGCUGCCUCCCACAAAGCAGAGGCCAGGGGCACUUGGAGAUCUCUUAGUAGGGAUCCCAGGGCUCUGAGCCUUAGACAGUUUUGAGUGUACCAGGGCUCCACUGCCCUCUCCUUUUCCCCUGGGAGACCUCCAUGGAAUGAGUGGGGUGUCCCCAAACAUUCCUUACCCAUGUCCUAUUAGAACUGCACAUCUGUCUACAGCUUCCUCCCUAGGACACAACCCCUUCCCUCUAUAUCUUCAGCAUACAGAGCUCCUACAGUCUUCAAGGGUCCCAGGAACAGAGGCCAUCAAACAGGAAGGUGCUGGAGAUGGACCUGGCUAGUGUCUCCCAUUCCCUGCCAGCACCUUCCCACCACACCUUGGCCAUCUAUGUGUCUCCAGUUUUCUGAAAUCCUGAACAGACCCCUCCAGGAUGACAUGAGUGAACUCUGCAACAGACACCUUGCCCAAGCCUGGAAGGUAGCAAGGAGGAGAAGCUGGACACUCUUAGGCCUACUAUGCCCCAGGCCUGUGCUGGUUCAGGGGACACACCAAGCUGCCUCACCCCAUGUGCCAGGGCACAGGCAGGGAUCAGAUGAAGAGGUAUACAAGUGACAGCCUAGUUACAACCAAUAUACAGUCAUCUAGAGAAUUGCAGAGCAGAGCAGGUGUGUAAGAAGGCACCUCAGCCAGUCUGUGUGUGGGUGUGUGCUGGGGUGUCUAGAUGGACACACUGAUCCAGGAUCUGUUCCCCUUAGGACCACUUCCCUGGGGCAGCCUCUACUCUCCACUGGGGUGGCAGCAGCAGCCCCUAACAUGCUUCCAUGGGUCUGCCCCACUUGUGACCCAACCCCUAUGGCUUCCUGACCUCAGUCACACCCCAUAACCCCUGUUAUUUCAUCUCUGGCCACUGAACUACUACUAAUGUGGGCCAGACAACUUCAAGCUUGGGCUUUUCCAGGCUGUUCCCUCCCUCUCCUGCUCCAUGGGGCUGCCUCACAGAGGUCUUCCCAGGCUGUACAACCUCAUGGAAGAAGUGGCACAGCUGCAACUACUGCCCUUGGCCCUGAAAGCUAUUGUACACCUGCCUUUUAUCUUUCCAGAUCUGCUUGAGUGACUGUCUUUCCCAUCCCACUAGCUGUUGAUUCCAAGAUGGCAGGGAGGCACCAUGUCAAACAUUCCACAUUUCCUGUCUGACCAAGAAAGGGGGCCCAUGGAGAGCCACUGGCCUGGCCCACCAGGAUGCUCUUAUAUGUGUUUCUGUUGCCCAUGUACAGGCUGAUGUGGAUGAUGCACUGGUUAUCUACCUGCUUAUUAUAUAGCAGCUGUGAGCCCGAGGGUCUGCAGGUGCUCAGAGGGGUCCCAGGCAGGUGGUGGGCUAAAGAGUAGGCAAUGCUGCUGGACAUUGAGGUCACACUGAAUGCCUCCGGGUAGGAUGAAGAGGUCAAUUCCCCACACUGUGGGGAGAUGGGGAAAUUGGGAGAAUUCCAGGAGUCUGCAGGACACCUCUGGUCUGCUGUGGGUUUCAGGGCGCUCCCAAAAACUGUGUUUCAGAGUUGGGGCUCCUCAUCCCUUUUUGGGUUGUGGAGAGGGGAAGGCAGGCACUUGACUGGGCCCAAGGGAUGGACCUUCAGGGAGAAGGGGUGUCAGGCAACUGCUUCUGGUGGCCAUCAGGGAGUUCAGUGACAAGGCCCAUGUUGAUUUCCAGAUCAGGCUUGGAGGCAUCAUCCACAUGUCCAGUGAGGCAGAUGGGUCCCCAAUGCUGAGGUUUGGGUGAAGGUGGAGCAGGACACUGGAGUGUGGGGCAGCACUGUUGCUGGGAUUGUCCUGGGUGUCUGGUGGCUGGAUGGAAGGGUGGCUUACCCAGGGCUGGUGCCAGGGACACAGUUUAUGCCCUCACACACCCAUUGCCCACUGAGCUCCAAGCAACCAUUAGAGUGUUGGAGAGAUGGCUCAGCAUGUCCUAUUUUCAUUGAUGGAAACCAGGCCCAGAAAAAAUGGGGACUCAAUUAUAUCACAGGGCUGUUCAGGAGUGGUGAGAAGUCCCAAAAGUAAACUGAGCCCACACUUAGCCUAAAAGGACACUGAUCCCCAAGGCAGUUGCACUUGUCCUUGAUCAAAUAUUUACUUCGCAUCCUGAGGCUUGUGAACAUCUGGGAGGCUUAGAGGCUGCAGUGUGUUGCUGGUAAUCAGGGCUGUUGGCUCCAGCUCACAAGACACAUGGUAGUUACAGGGCAGAUGGCUAGUGAGGGUACUGGUAGCCACAGUCCAGGGCACCCUCCCAGAAUCUGAAUAGCAGGAGAGACUGGGAGCCACAGGGGUCUCCAGGCCACAGGUCUGAUGGGUCCAAGUGACAUGGCCACAUGCCUUCUGAGACUGGGAGUCACAGGGGUCUCCAGACCACAGGUCUGAUGGGUCCAAGUACCACAGACACACACGUUCUGGGCGUGGCCUUUAGUGAGGACCCAACUUGCUACUGCCCAGUAUCUGCCCUGGCCCUACUGCUCAGACUCACUGAGCUGUUCCACAGCCCCAAACCAGGCCCAAAAUUGCUCCAUGGGCCAAAAGUGGAUAUAGGUGCAUCAUGUCUGGAGGCACUGGAUGUUUGGUAUGAGCUGGUAUUCCUGGGGUGGGAGGGAAGGAGCAGAUGGAAAGGAGGUCUGGGUGGACAUUCUGGGUGUGCCAGGAGCUGCUUCUUUGCUUGUGGUAGGUCCUCUCCUACCUCGCCUUUUCAUCCAAGAUGCCCAGUUCUCAGCACAGGAUUCUCACAGCCCCUCCUCCAGAAAAAGGUCCUUGAUGCCACCUCCUCCCAAACUUCUUGUGGCACAUCCAUCUCAUCUCUAUGAAUUGAGUCUCACUUUUAAAAUGCUGAAAACAAAUGGAGCAAUGGAAUGUCCAGCCCUGGUGGAUUUCUGACAUCCAGCCCCGUCCCACCCACACCUCACCCCUGCAGUGAUGCCCCCAACUCCCUACCUUCAAUGCUAUUUCAUAAUUGAUCAAUCUCCCCUGAAAGACAGAAAUCCCACCACCAUCAUAAGAGGUUACCCAGGCCCUGACAAGCUCCCAUUAUCCCUCUCCUGCUGCACUACUGGGAGGGGCCACCAAGGGGCAGGCCAGGACACCCAGGACUUAGACCUUUUCAGGGUUCUGGGCACCAAAACAAGAGCACCUGGGCAGAGGCUUAAGGAACUUCCAGCAUAACUGUCUCUGAUGACAAAUGAAGAGACUAUGGGGUCAGGCAUGAAGGGCCUCACCAGCCUCUCACAUGCUCACCAUGGAGUGGCCCACUUCACUCCCCCCAUGACCACACCUGAGUGGGAGGACAUGUCCAGUGCAGCCACUGCCAUAUGGAGUUGUGAAGUCAGGAGUGAGUGUUGGAAUGGGACAUGGGCUGUGGAUUCUGUCUUCCUCUGCUUCCUUGUUUGGAAGGUUGACAUGUCACCCCCAAUUCCCAGGAGAACAGUGUGACUCCUAUGGUGAGCUGUGCAGAUUGUUGAGAGCUUGGAGCUCAGGAAGAUGCUCUCUCCCCCACAUCUCAGGGUUCCCAAACUCCUCUGCCCCAGAUCCCAGGCCCACUCACUUCCUGAGUCUGGAGGAGAUAUUUUCAGGGAGAUCAGCUCUGAGAAGAACACUGAAAGGUGGGGAAUGGUGGACUGAGUGACAACCAGUGGUGUCAGUUGUGGGCAAGAACCCUAAGCUCUCUGGGGACACCCAAGGCACUUAACCUGAAGUCUCAUCAGUCUCAAACUCCUACCCCCAACUCAGACCUCCCAAACUUGGACACUCUCUACCUCCCAAUGAACACCUCUCCCAGCCCCAUGAACUCAAGUAGUCCUGCUAGUCACCUCUGAAGGACAGAUUUUGGCAAAUUUCAAAGCUUAUGUGGUCACUGGAGCCCAUCUUCCCCAAAUCCACCUUGAAAUAGGCUCUCCCGAGGCCUUCCUUUGACUAGCUAAAUACAAGCUGAUCAAGACACAGCCUUCACCAUUCACAGGAGGCCAUGCCCAAUGGAGGCUUUCCAAGUGUUGAGGCACCAGGAUGCAGUGGUGCACAAGGAAGGGGCCCCUCUGUGGUCCUUGAUACCAGCCCUCCCCUUCACUGGGCUCAGGGACUCUCAUGAUCUCCGAAACCUGUCUAUUCUGCUCUCGCUUUGGCUUCAUCCACAGUUUGGAAUGCCUGGAGGUCCCUUCCUGCCAAGAUUGAGGGCAAUAACAGUGAGGCCAUCCUCCCCUCACUGCAGCAUCCGUCCAGCCUUAUGGGGCCUUGGACAGCCUGCCCACAUCAGCUGACAGAAAUGCUGCUGCCAUCAGUCAUGAGCUCUGCGUGCAGAUAGGAAUCCCAGCUACAAGAGGCCAUUGGCUGGGAUUUUGAAAAAGUGAACCAGCCUCCCUGAACCCUUGUUCAUCUGCAAAAUGCAGGCAAGGACUGUUCCCCAGAGGACUCAGGGUCACACCCUGUUAUCAGGAUGCUCUCUCUAGAACCAUCUCCACCUUGGAGUGACUGGAAAACUCAUCCACAUUCCUGUCUUCCCUUGAAUCUGCUGCUGCAUUUUGAGGAAAGCACCACAAUUUGGCCCUCAUUCCAUUUCCAGAUAAAGAGACAGAGGUUCCAGAGAGAAGAAACUUGACUCAAGUCCUACAUGAUUUCAAGGAUUCAUUAGCUCUGUUCUCUCGGACCAUGUUCUGAGUUAAAAUCAUCUCAUCACUGAACACUGUGGCCCAGGUUUUGCUUUCAAAGUUUGUGGCUGUUACUAUAGCCAGACAAUUCAGAGAGGAAGAGUGAUGGGGUGGCUCUGGAAGCCUGGUUGAGCAGCUCCUGCCAGGCCCAGCUCACUGGAGUCUGCCCCCCAAUCUCUGCUAAAAGCCAAGCCAAAGUCCUGCCUUCACCAAGAAACUGUUGGGAAGUUCUCUCUGCAAAGACCUCCUUCUGUGUCCACUCAGGAAAUGGCCUCUCUGCAGCACAGAGUUUCCCUGCAACAUGGGGUAUUGACAUUUUGAUUCCUCUUCUAAGUGGCAGUUUGGAAAGAUGGUCCAUAAUAAAUUGCUGUGAUUUUAUAAGUCUUCCAAAUAAUUCUCAAAUGACUUGGGACAUAAGUCACUGAGAAGAUUGCCCCAGGGUGAGAAUCCUAUACCUGGGAUGGAGAGCUACUAAAUCAUCUGCUUCAGUAUCUCCUUCUGAAACAGCCAAGCUCCUCCAACACACUGGAUGACCAGGGCCUCCCUCCCCAAACUGCCCCCAGGCUUCACUUAGCCAGACAAGUCCCUCUUCCUCUUGGUCCAGAGAAGACCAGACUGGAAUUUUCCAAAAAAAAUUCACUGUGAAUCUAAGAGCUCCACAUCCCACCCUGGCAGCAGCACCUGACACCAAUUUACCUGGAUUGGCAGGGCCCUGUUCAGGGAGGUUUCCUUCAUAGUUUGGAAUUUACAGGAGCUGUCCCUUUGGGGAGAAGAAAGAAGGGAAAACUUGGGGAAUCAUGAGGAGUGUGCCAGUUUGAAUGUAUUGUGUCCCCCAAAUGCCAUUAUCUUUGUGGUCUUGUGGGACAGAAUAGUGGGGAUUAAG